ACCUUAAAGGCCCAUCUCCGGAUACAGUCGCACUGAGGAUUAGGGCUUCAACGUAUAAAUUUGGGGGUGGGGGCGGAACACAAUCCAGUCGAUAGCAGGAGCUGACAGAAAGAACCUCACCUCUUGGUGCUCUCUCUGCCUUGGAAACAUGAGUAUGAUUCUGUCUGAGAACAGAUUGGAGAGUCUGGCAUCUUCAUGCAACUGAAACGAUGUUCCACUCAACAGUGAUGACUCUGGAGAGAAAAGAAAUCACAAAUGGGACAAAUGCAGCUUAAGAGACACUGAAAUUAAAGUGACAGAGCUCUUUGGCCAAGAUCCAUUCUAUUUGUGAACAAUAGAAGAACAACAGUGAGUGAUAUUAACCACUGGGCUUCAGAAUGGAAAGUCCAAAUGACCAAGUUGCUGACCAGCUGUGCCCCUGUUUGUAGGUUUUACUCACAGCGCAAGAAAAGCAUAUCAGUGUUUUUUGAUACAUGUACACUAAGUGUUCCAUCACUCAUAGGGUGCUUACUCUAUAUCCCAUGGGCCAUUAUCAGUGUAUUUAAGAGUCAUAAACCAGUCUCAAAUUCCAAUUAGAAUAUUGUUUUGAUGGCCCAUUUUCCACAUACUCAAUUUCCAAAUGUUGAGCUUGGAGUUAAUGAAGGUUUGGGAGUGGGAGGUAGAGGAAAAGUGGGAACAAAAACAAUUCAUGUGAUUCAUCAUUAUUUUUCCAGUUCUGGUGAUCAUUUCGGUCUGAUGUAUCCGCACUUUCUCCAUCCAUCUGCCCUCAACCCUGCCCAGUUUCUUUGAAAAAUGUGUUCCUUUUAUGACAUAUGUUUGAAAUAGUUGUUCCUGUGUGAAAACCAUUGGCUGUGUUACACUGGAACUGCAAACCUUGUCAUG